ensembl:lncRNA
ACACACUUGCUCACUUAACCACUCCUAUAUCUGUAGGCUAACAUACAUAUCCAUCUUCUGCUGUUCCACACGUAGCUCCUUGACUGACAAGGCUUUAUAUAGCUUUCCUAUAGUUGCUUCCUGAUAUCUCCCCCUGAGGAUGCUGGGUAGUGCUGUUUCCCCUCUAUCAGGGAGUUAGGAUGCACUGGGUAUCCUGCAGACCUCUGCGUUAGGUAUUAGGCGUAAGUAUAGGAUGCACUGGGUAUCCUGCAGACCUCUGCGUUAGGUAUUAGGUGUAAGUAUAGGAUGCACUGGGUAUCCUGCA